rnacentral:rRNA from 1 species
GACGAAGGGGGCUAGCGUUGUUCGGAAUUACUGGGCGUAAAGCGAGUGUAGGUGGUUGUCCAAGUUGGAUGUGAAAUCCCUCGGCUCAACUGAGGAUCGUCGAUCGAUACUGCCGUUCUUGAGGAUUGCAGAGGAGACUGGAAUUCCCGGUGUAGCGGUGAAAUGUGUAGAGAUCGGGAGGAACACCGGUGGCGAAGGCGGGUCUCUGGGCAAUUCCUGACGCUGAGGCGCGAAAGCGUGGGGAGCAAACGGG